rnacentral:rRNA from 1 species
CCUACGGGAGGUAGCAGUGAGGAAUAUUGGUCAAUGGGCGGGAGCCUGAACCAGCCAAGUCGCGUGAGGGAUGACGGCCCUAUGGGUUGUAAACCUCUUUUGCCGGGGAGCAAAGUGCCGCACGUGUGCGGUUUGGAGAGUACCCGGAGAAAAAGCAUCGGCUAACUCCGUGCCAGCAGCCGCGGUAAUACGGAGGAUGCGAGCGUUAUCCGGAUUUAUUGGGUUUAAAGGGUGCGUAGGCGGGAAAGCAAGUCAGAUGUGAAAACUCAGGGCUCAACCCUGAGCCUGCAUUUGAAACUGUUUUUCUUGAGUGCUGGAGAGGCAAUCGGAAUUCCGGGUGUAGCGGUGAAAUGCGUAGAUAUACGGAGGAACACCAGUGGCGAAGGCGGAUUGCUGGACAGUAACUGACGCUGAGGCGCGAAAGCGUGGGGAGCAAACAGGAUUAGAUACCCGUGUAGUC